UCCCCGUUAUCCGGGGCAGUUUCGCCAGAGUGCUCGCCAUUACGCGGUAGCAACUGGCAAUAAGGGUUGCGCUCGUUGCGGGACUUAACCCAACAUCUCACGACACGAGCUGACGACAGCCAUGCAGCACCUACGUAGCAGUCUCUUGCGAGAAAGGGAUAUUUCUACCCCGGUCCACUACGCUUCGAGCCCAGGUAAGGUUCUUCGGUUAGUAUCGAAUUAAUCCACAUGCUCCACCGCUUGUGCGGGUCCCCGUCAAUUCAUUUGAGUUUUAACCUUGCGGCCGUACUCCCCAGGCGGU
rnacentral:misc_RNA from 1 species